rnacentral:misc_RNA from 1 species
UCCAUCCCAUCUUCACCUGCUUUCUUCCCGCCCUAAAAUUGGAUGCUACUUCAGCUUCUCUCCGCAUCACUUGCUGAACCAGAGGGGAUAAUCCUAGACUCCUCUCAAACUCUGCAACAGUAAGUAAUCGGUUCGAGCCCACUUGACGUAUCCUCCCUGACAAACCAUCAUGCCCAUGUUCAUCCACAAUGAACUCUGUUCCAUCAUCCAAAUUCCUAAUUCUACAAAUGAAAUUCUCCUCCAAC